GUUCAUGUGGCUUAGUGGUUAAAGCGUCCGCCUCGGAUGCGGAAGGUCGUAGGUUCGAAGUCCGGCCUAGUAAUA